AGCUAAGAAUCUUCCGCAAUGGGCGAAAGCCUGACGGAGCGACGCCGCGUGAACGAUGAAGGCCGUGAGGUUGUAAAGUUCUUUUCGGGAGGAGGAAAAGCGUGGCAGGCAAUGGCCGCGCGAUGACGUGAAUCCCGGAAUAAGCCCCGGCUAACUACGUGCCAGCAGCCGCGGUAACACGUAGGGGGCGAGCGUUGUUCGGAAUCAUUGGGCGUAAAGGGCGUGCAGGCGGCCCUGCAAGUCCGGCGUGAAAUGUCCCGGCUCAACCGGGGAGACGCGCUGGAAACUGUGGGGCUUGAGUACAGGAGGGGAUGCCGGAAUUCCAGGUGUAGGGGUGAAAUCUGUAGAUAUCUGGAGGAACACCAAUGGCGAAGGCAGGCAUCUGGCCAUGUACUGACGCUGAGACGCGAAGGUGCGGGGAGCAAACAGGUUUAGAUACCCUGGUAGUCCGCACAGUAAACGAUGUGCACCAGGUGGCGGGGGUCGACCCUCGGUACCGAAGCUAACGCAUUAAGUGCACC
rnacentral:rRNA from 1 species